rnacentral:tRNA from 1 species
GGUGGGAUGCCCGAGUGGCCAAAGGGAGCACGCUGUAAACGUGCCGGCUCAGCCUACGAAGGUUCGAAUCCUUCUCCCACCA